rnacentral:rRNA from 1 species
AACGGGUGGAGCUUGCGGUUUAAUUGGAUCAACGCCGGAAAUCUUACCGGGACCGACAGCAAUAUGAAGGCCAGGCUGAAGACUUUGCCGGAUUAGCUGAGAGGUGGUGCAUGGCCGUCGUCAGUUUGUACUGUGAAGCAUCCUGUUAAGUCAGGCAACGAGCGAGACCCACGCCCACAGUUGCCAGCGUACUCUCUGGAGUGACGGGUACACUGUGGGGACCGCCGCUGCUAAAGCGGAGGAAGGAAUGGGCAACGGUAGGUCAGUAUGCCCCGAAUAUCCCGGGCUACACGCGAGCUACAAUGGUCAGGACAAUGGGCAUCAACACCGAAAGGUGAAGGCAAUCUCUUAAACCUGUCCUUAGUUCGGAUUGUGGGCUGCAACUCGCCCACAUGAAGCUGGAAUCUGUAGUAAUCGCGUCUCAAAAUGGCGCGGUGAAUAUGUCCCUGCUCCUU